UACGUAGGGGGCGAGCGUUGUCCGGAAUCAUUGGGCGUAAAGCGCGUGUAGGCGGCUUGAUAAGUCUGGUGUGAAAUCUUGGGGCUCAACCCCAAGCCUGCACUGGAUACUGUCGGGCUCGAGUCCGGAAGAGGCGAGUGGAAUUCCUGGUGUAGCGGUGAAAUGCGCAGAUAUCAGGAGGAACACCGGUGGCGAAGGCGGGUCUCUGGGCAGUGAACUGACGCUGAGGAACGAAAGCGUGGGUAGCAAACAGG
rnacentral:rRNA from 1 species